CACGGGGGGAGCGAGCGUUGUUCGGAAUCACUGGGCGUAAAGGGCGUGUAGGCGGUCAGGUAAGUGGGAUGUGAAAUUCCCCGGCUCACCCGGGGGCCUGCAUCCCAAACUGCCUGGCUUGAGUAUGGGAGAGGAUGGGGGAAUUCCUGGUGUAGCGGUGAAAUGCGUAGAUAUCAGGAGGAACACCGGUGGCGAAGGCGCCCAUCUGGCCCAAUACUGACGCUGAGGCGCGAAAGCUAGGGGAGCAAAC
rnacentral:rRNA from 1 species